rnacentral:lncRNA from 1 species
ACUCAUUCAAUUAGUAAGCGAGCCCAAAUAAGACAGGCCCAUAUUACAAAAUACAACAGAAGUCCGGAAUGAAAUUUAUAUCACGUCGAAGAUGCGGGGCCAACGUUAAAGGCCCAAUUGCGAGCUCCCACGCAGAUCAUACCCAAGAACCCAGCAUUGUACAUACAUUAUUGAAUACCAAUAAGCUGAAACAAUGUUGAGCAAUAACUAAACCAACUUCCUUUAUUCUUAAUUAUUCAAUCAUAGAGCAACUAGACUUAUUUUCAAUCAUGUCUGCGCCUCAGGCCCACAUCUGCCUCGGACUCACAAGGCCAUCUCGCAAGAAAAUGAACUUUGGGCCCAACGAGCCCAAGUCAGAUUUCAAGGUAAUCUGCUAGAAGCUUUAAGACUCGAUAUCGAGUCUUCUCAGCAGCGAACAAUGUAUGUCUAAUAAACAGGCCUCAACCUGCAAGUGUAUAGCUGAACUAAGAAAACUGGACAACAUGCAUUUAAGCCAACAACACUGGUCUCAACAGACCCAAAAUAGACCUGAAAUACACUUGACACCACUAAAAUUCUUUGUGAUAAUUCUCUACUGCUCCUACACAUGAUCAAGACCCUUCAACAUUCAAGUUAAGCGAGUGAAAGGGAAACCUUUAUACAACACCAUAAAGUAUCUAAAAGGUAUGCCAAUAAACUAAAUAACUUAUGUGAACCUAGUAGGAACAUGAAGACAAUAUAUAAUAAACAUCACAACUGUUAAGGUAAUAGGGAAAGGGCAGCGAUCAAUUUCUUCAACUCGAACUACAUAAUUCAAGCACAAUUGCCAUACAAAGCUUCAUUUCCGUCAAGGUUUGAAGGCAAUACCUGGAAAUUGAAAAGAAAACAGAGAAAUGAGGAAUCAGUAAUGGACUCAGUAGCAGGAACAUGAAUCAACAACAAAAUCAGUCCAGAAAUGAUUGAGAAAAGACCACUUUAGCCCAGUUUGCACCCAUAGUGAUAUCACAUACAGCUCAGAACCAAAAUCUACCCAAUAGUGAACCAAAAACUUGUAUACCAAACAUAUUCAGCUCAUUUAAAACUUCAGUUGCUUAGAACUUGUCACAGAAUCAGUAUCACAAGAAUUUCCCAAAGAUUAUCAAUGGAACAAUACUUUUUGUAUUUUUAGCCGUUUUUUUAAUUAUUUUUCAGCCCUUUUCUCUCUAAGGUGUAAAAAUUGUCUUGAAUGAGAAGAAGGAUUUCAUUUUUAAGGCUGAGGGUCUGCU